rnacentral:tRNA from 1 species
GAGGGUAUAGCUCAGUGGUACAGCAAAUGCUUAGCAUGCUUGAAGUCCUGGGUUCAAUCCCCAGUACCUCCA